GACGAACGCUGGCGGCGUGCUUAACACAUGCAAGUCACGGGGGGUAGCAAUAACCAACCGGCGAACGGGUGCGUAACACGUGAGCAACCUACCGAUUUGUGGGGGAGUAGCUGGCCUAACGGCCAGGUAAUACCGCAUACGCUUGUAAAGUCUCCUGGCUUAACAAGGAAACCUCCGGGGCAAAUCGAGGGGCUCGCGGCCUAUCAGCUAGUUGGCGAGGUCAUGGCUCACCAAGGCGACGACGGGGAGCUGGUCUGAGAGGAUGGCCAGCCACAUUGGGACUGAGAAACGGCCCGACGACUCCUACGGGAGGCAGCAGUGGGGAAGUCUUGCGCAAUGGACG
rnacentral:rRNA from 1 species